UACGAAGGGGGCUAGCGUUGCUCGGAAUCACUGGGCGUAAAGCGCACGUAGGCGGCUUUCUAAGUCAGGGGUGAAAUCCUGGAGCUCAACUCCAGAACUGCCUUUGAUACUGAAGAGCUUGAGUCCGGGAGAGGUGAGUGGAACUCCGAGUGUAGAGGUGAAAUUCGUAGAUAUUCGGAAGAACACCAGUGGCGAAGGCGGCUCACUGGCCCGGUACUGACGCUGAGGUGCGAAAGCGUGGGGAGCAAACAGG
rnacentral:rRNA from 1 species